AGGCGAGGCAGUCAGUCGCUCUCAGCUACGACAUGCAUAACGCAUGAAAGCCCGAGCGAGAUCUUUCUAACCCGUCUCUCCUCCGCCGCCAUACACACACACAUACACAUACACAUUCACAAUCACUCUCUUGCUCUCUCUCACACACAUAUACAUAUUCUCUCUCUCCCCGUACUCUCUCACCCACACUCACGCAUACACGUAUACCGUAUGUAUACGUACACGUACACUCAUGUAAAGAGAGGGACAUCCACCGACAGAAGGAACAUACACGCACGACAUCAUAUACUUACUCUACUCCCGCCGAGUCGAGUCUCUUCCGUUCCGCGAUUACCGUCGUACGUCCCUUUACGCCGAGCCGGUCGGUCGCUCGCUCGUUGCUCGGUCGUCGGUCCGCGGUGGCAACCCCCGAGUGCAGUCGCGCCGUGCAUCGUCGUCAUCGGUUCGCGUUUACCACAUCGGGGCCACGGACGCAACGCCUAACCAGUGUGGAGUAAUCCUCGCAUCGCUGUAGACGUCAUCGUCGUCGUCGUUUUCAAGAGAUAGUGAUUAUUCGACAAGUUCGAAUCCCCUCCAAGGAUGUGUGAUCUCGGCUAAAUCGAUAUCUUUGGUCGCGAGUGACUUCCCGACUCGUCUCUCGAAGGAGAUCGGAACCAUAAAGCGAUCAGUUCGCUUGUGAUUCUCGUGCCACAAGAGGAAAGGAAAAACCGGAGUACCGCGACAAAGCGGUGCUCCGAUCCACGCUUUCUUUCCGCGGGGAUCCAUCCCCGUCGGAAAAGAUAAGAAGACAGCACACCAACGUCUCUCGUAUCGCGAACUCGUCGAUGUUUCUAUAUCCCGUGCACAAUCUUGAGAAACUAUGGACGAAAGUUCGUCAAGAGCGAUGACCAGCUUCGUCUGGUAUUCAGUGUGUCAUCGCGAACUGUGGAUUGUGCUACGUGUGAAGAGUGAUUAAAAAAACUGCUCGUCGAGUAUCGUACGAUCGUAUAUUAUUGUAAGGUGACUAGAUAUACAACUGACAACACUCGACAACCUAAGAUCUCGCGAGGAGACACUCCACCGUGACAAUCAAUAUUUUCGUGGAGAUUUCUUAUCGCAAAAUAAAAAAAUCUUCAUUAUUUCAUCUAUCGGACGGAAUCGACAUACGGAAGAUCUUUCUGCGAAAGGAGCUCGAGAAACCCGUGGGCGUUCCACGGCGUGGAACCAACCACACCAAAGGGGUUUUGCGAAGCCUCUUGACGAGCGGAAAGUAGAUGGCCGCUACCACGUACAUGCCGAUUAGUAGCGCAGUAUCUACCGACCUGGAUGGUGGUUCGGGUACAACGAUCGGAAUGAACAUCGCCGUAGGUGGCUAUUCCUCGGGCUCGCCCCGCAGCGCCGCCGAUGCGGGGGAGAUGAAGUACAUGCCGGCGCCGCAGCAUCAUCACCACCAUCACCAUCACCAUCAGGUGUCGUCUUCGCCGUCGCCGAACGGACUCUCCCAUCCGGCGAGUCUCUCGUCGGCGAAUCCCUGGGUGAGCCUACAACCUGGCAGCGAUCCCUGGGCGGCUUCGAUGGGCAUGCAUCAUACUACCCAUCAUCCUCAUCAUCAUCCCCAUCAAGCUAACGCAAGUCUCGAUGUGAAACCGUUGACCGCGGCAGCCGCGGCAACCGCGACGGACCAGGGGAUGCACCAUCGAGGCCCGCACCAGUCACCGGGCAUGGCCUCGCCGCAUUCCUGGCACGCACCGGUCGUUCCGUCGGCGCAUUACAACCCCAGCGGUGGCGCGGCCUCGCCCACCACCCUGCAACAGUACCAUGCGGCGAUGAACGGCAUGCUGCACCAGCAUCCGCACCAGCAUCCGCAUCAGCUCCACAAUCAUCAGACCGGACUACCUCACCACUUGAGGGACGCGCACAAUCACAGUCCACCGUCGGGGCAUCCGCUGCACGCGGGGCACCCUCUCGACAGGGAUCACAGCGCCGGCGAGGAGGAUACGCCGACGUCGGACGAUCUCGAGGCCUUUGCCAAGCAGUUCAAGCAGCGACGCAUCAAGCUCGGCUUCACCCAGGCGGACGUCGGUCUCGCCCUCGGUACUCUUUACGGCAACGUCUUUUCGCAGACGACAAUAUGCAGGUUCGAAGCUCUACAGUUGAGCUUCAAGAAUAUGUGUAAAUUGAAGCCAUUGCUGCAAAAAUGGCUCGAGGAAGCGGAUUCGACGACUGGCUCGCCGACGAGCAUCGACAAGAUUGCCGCUCAAGGUAGAAAGCGAAAGAAGAGAACAUCGAUCGAGGUAUCGGUGAAGGGCGCGCUCGAGCAACACUUUCACAAGCAACCCAAACCCUCGGCUCAAGAGAUCACCUCGCUAGCGGACUCGCUGCAACUCGAGAAGGAAGUCGUCAGGGUGUGGUUCUGUAAUCGACGGCAGAAGGAGAAGAGGAUGACGCCGCCCAAUACUCUCGGCGACGGCAUGAUGGAGGGCAUGCCGCCGGGUCACCAGGGCCAAGGCGGCCUUCAUCAGGGUUAUCAUCCGCAGGAUCACCUGCACGGUUCGCCCAUGGGCCACAGCCACAGUCCGCCGAUGCUCAGCCCGCAAGCUCUCACGGCUCACUCUCUUGCGGCUCACUAGCGUUCGCCGGGGCCUCCCCCGUUGGGCCUCGCGGUAACCUCACAGAACUCGACAAACGUGUCGUCGACGGCGGAAACGACGACCCUGCCGCCGUUUUAUCAUCACUACCUUCAGGCGCGCACCGGCAGCUACACGACUUCGUAGCUGACGGAUUCACGGCGCCCUUUCUACCUGCCGGAUGGCGGCGCUCGUUACCGAAACGAGGGUACGAAAUGGUGGCUCGUUCAACGAGAUUCAACGGGGUUCAACGAGGCCGAGACCGGUCCACCGGGGAGGCUGAGAAGCUGACGCGUUCGGUCGGCGAUCUUUUGUCGACCUUGACCGCCGCGCCCUGGUCCGAAGAGAGAAUGAAAGCUGCGGACAAAAUAGAUGAGAGAAAACGGGGUAAAAGAGGACACGUCGCGACCAUUGAUAAAUAUCCUUCGUCCGAGUUCUUCGGGAUUUUGUCAUCGUCAUCGCCGUCAGCUCGUCGUUACUCGCGUUGUCGCGACAAAUUCCUCCAUCGACGAUGUCUCGGUGAUAAGUGAUACCUUCUCAUCGUGUUUUUCUGCGACGCGAUCCAGGAGGAGAUCCAGUGUCGUUCUCUCGAAGGGUCGAAGUGAUGACGUUCCUCUUUCGCGCGGUCAGGUCGAGGCCCGUUCGUCUGUUUGUGAAAUCUAAGCUGGACCGCGAACUUUGUUGCCUGUUUGCUGUUGUUGUUGUUGUUCUUCUUUCGUCAUCGUUGGUGAACGCAAGUGAGUUUACUCCGAUGGGAACCUGAAGAAAGAUAGUUUAAUAACAGGGUGCGCGAAAUGGACUUGAGGCAAGGGUGCGGCUGAAAAGGACGGACAUGUGUUUUUAAUCUCCUUCUCUCGCUCGCGAAGCGGGGCUAGAAUAUCGGACACGAAACAUGCGUCGUAAAAAAGUGUCUUUCCGUGCGAUUUUCCCGCUUAUCGUCCGCGAAGAGAAUCUGAAAUUCGCGGGACAAUUAUACGGAUGGACGAACGGGCAACAAGAAAAGAACGUACAUAAGAAGCGAGUGUUGUGUUCGCGCGGGAUUUGCUCGAAGCAAACUCGGCGAAUGAUGUAACAUAAGUAUAAAUAUGGAUUGUAAAUAAUGUACUAGAUAAAGCUAGUAAGUUAAGUGAGAAAGAACAUGAGUCGUCGUCAUCGUCAUCGUCGUCGUCAUCGUCGUCGGCGAGCGAGAAAAACAGACGCAGGAGCUGGAAUAAACGGAGGAAAAAAAGAUAAAGAGAAAAAGGCAGGAAGAGGGAGACAAAGAAUAUGCGGCGCGACGAAGUAGAAAAAAAGAGGGACAAUUUAUACAUAUAUAUAUAUAUAUAUAUAUAUAUAUAUAUAUAUAUAUAUAUAUACACGCAUUCACAUAUGUAUAUAUAUAUAAAGGGACAGGAAGGUCCAUGUAUACAUCGGAGAGGGAACACGUAUCGGAAAAGCGCGUGCGAAAUCCUAGCGAGAUGGCAAGACAGAUCCCCCCUCGCGUGAAAAACCCCUUCUGUAUAAAGAUUUCCUGCCCUCGGAUUGCCGAUCGUCCCCCGGACCCAUUUUCGGACCCACCGAACUCGACGAUGGGCCCCGACCAACCCGGCCGCCACAGCCGCCGCUCUCAGUCGGGGCCUCCGAGAACAAGUAUCCAGCCGUCAAGGAUCGGUCGUCAAGGCUUUUGGAACGUCCGGGACGCGUCAUCGCGUCGAUCGCGCGCAGUCAGGACACUCGGACGGACUCAAAUAUCGUCGGAUUUGAGCUUACAGAGUUGUGUCUCGCAUCGUCCUCCUGCAAGCAAUCGUUCUCCAGAAUCCAGUCGCAGCCAGGCAUCGUGUCUCAGUGUGGAAAUACAUAAUUACAUAGAAUUACGGUAUAAGUUGUGUUAAAUCAAUGUUAAUCGCUGUAGCGAAGUGGGGUAUUAUAAUAAAUACAUUAUUUUAUGUA
rnacentral:lncRNA from 1 species